CCCUAGCCCUGAUAGCAGUGAAAAUCCUUGUUGCUUUUUCAAGAAAGCAACAAGAUUGUAGCGGAUAGCAGGAUUAAGC
rnacentral:sRNA from 1 species